CCUACGGGAGGCAGCAGUGAGGAAUAUUGGUCAAUGGACGAGAGUCUGAACCAGCCAAGUAGCGUGAAGGAUGACUGCCCUAUGGGUUGUAAACUUCUUUUAUAUGGGAAUAAAACGUUCCACGUGUGGGAUUUUGUAUGUACCAUAUGAAUAAGGAUCGGCUAACUCCGUGCCAGCAGCCGCGGUAAUACGGAGGAUCCGAGCGUUAUCCGGAUUUAUUGGGUUUAAAGGGAGCGUAGGUGGAUUGUUAAGUCAGUUGUGAAAGUUUGCGGCUCAACCGUAAAAUUGCAGUUGAAACUGGCAGUCUUGAGUACAGUAGAGGUGGGCGGAAGUCGUGGUGUAGCGGUGAAAUGCUUAGAUAUCACGAAGAACUCCGAUUGCGAAGGCAGUUCACUGGACUGCAACUGACACUGAGGCUCGAAAGUGUGGGUAUCAAACAGGAUUAGAUAUCCCUGUAGUC
rnacentral:rRNA from 1 species